UACAGAGGGUGCAAGCGUUAAUCGGAAUUACUGGGCGUAAAGCGUGCGUAGGUGGUUCUUUAAGUCAGGUGUGAAAUCCCUGGGCUCAACCUGGGAACUGCAUUUGAUACUGGAGAGCUAGAGUGUGGUAGAGGAUGGUGGAAUUCCCGGUGUAGCGGUGAAAUGCGUAGAUAUCGGGAGGAACAUCAGUGGCGAAGGCGGCCAUCUGGACCAACACUGACACUGAGGCACAAAAGCGUGGGGAGCAAAACAGG
rnacentral:rRNA from 1 species